GAUGAACGCUGGCGGCGUGCCUAAUACAUGCAAGUCGAGCGAAUGGAUUAAGAGCUUGCUCUUAUGAAGUUAGCGGCGGACGGGUGAGUAACACGUGGGUAACCUGCCCAUAAGACUGGGAUAACUCCGGGAAACCGGGGCUAACACCGGAUAACAUUUUGAACCGUAUGGUUCGAAAUUGAAUGGCGGCUUCCGCUGUCACUUAUGCGUGGACCCGCGUGGCAUUAGCUAGUUGGUGAGGUCACGGCUCACCAAGGCAACGAUGCGUAGCCGACCUGAGAGGGUGAUCGGCCACACUGGGACUGAGACACGGCCCAGACUCCUACGGGAGGCAGCAGUAGGGAAUCUUCCGCAAUGGACGAAAGUCUGACGGAGCAACGCCGCGUGAGUGAUGAAGGCUUUCGGGUCGUAAAACUCUGUUGUUAGGGAAGAACAAGUGCUAGUUGAAUAAGCUGGCACCUUGACGGUACCUAACCAGAAAGCCACGGCUAACUACGUGCCAGCCGCCGCAGUAA
rnacentral:rRNA from 1 species